GUAGGCCCGUGCCCCUGCUCGCGCUGCAGCCCGUGGAAGGGUUCCGUCCAGCGUAUCCUUCAGAUCUUGCUGUAGGCCUCUGGUGUCUGUGCGCGCGCGGCAGGGGCGGCGGCGGCGACGGCCGGAGGUGUACGGUCAGCGGGUUGCGGAGGAUCGUGCGGGUCGCAAAGGGAAGCCGAGUGCUCCUGCGGCUCCCAGACUGCAACCAGGUGUAAAUCCAAACCGCUUCCAACUCAAGGCAAGUAACAGCCCACGGUGUUCUGGCAGGAAAACAUCAGCUAAGAAAGGAAACUGGGUCCUAUGGCUUGGACUUUCCAACUCUGACAGACCGGCAGGACAGAAACAACUGGUUCAGGAGCCCUUGCCAGCCUCUAGAGAAAUCCCAGAACACUCAGCCCUGAUGACACAUUAAUACCCUGCACAUAUUGGAGACUGCUGACCACGCAUACUCACCAAGCCACAGACUUGUCUUCCACAAGCACGUUCUUACCUCAGCCACAAAGUGCCCAAGCCACAUGUACUAAAGGUUGAAAUCAGAGACAUGUACAGGGUAUUAAACAGAUACCAAGGGGAACAGUUAACUUGAAUAUAGCUUGAAUAGAAAGUCAAAAUCAGCAACAAGUCUACAAUCCAGUGCUGAUAUCAGAUACAAGCUUCAAGGACAACUUUCUGUGUAUGUUUUUUUUUUUUUUUUUGAGACGUAGUCUCGCCCUGUUGCCCAGGCUGGAGUGCAGUGGUGCAAUCUCGGCUCACCACAACCUCUGCCUCCCAGGUUCAAGUGAUUCUCCUGCCUCAGCCUCCCCAGUAGCUGGGAUUAUAGGCGAAUGCCACCAUGCCUGGCUAAUUUUUGUAUUUUUAGUAGAGACGGGGUUUCAGCAUGUUGGCCAGGCCGGUCUCAAACUCCUGACCUUGUGAUCCACCCGUCUCGGCCUCCCAAAGUGCUGGGAUUAUAGGCGUGAGCCACCACUUCUGGCCACAAAUUUCUUUUUGAAGGCUUAUUCCAGUUUUGUGAGGCUAGCAUGAGGUGUAUGCAUUUGCCAGGGGCAAAUUUAUACUGCUGAAUUAACCC
rnacentral:lncRNA from 1 species